rnacentral:rRNA from 1 species
AUUGAACGCUGGCGGCAUGCUUUACACAUGCAAGUCGAACGGUAACAGGCCUUCGGGUGCUGACGAGUGGCGAACGGGUGAGUAAUGCAUCGGAACGUACCCAGAGGUGGGGGAUAACGCAGCGAAAGCUGUGCUAAUACUGCAUGUGAUCUGAGGAUGAAAGCGGGGGACCGAGCAGCAAUGUUUGGCCUCUCGCCUUUGGAGCGGCCGAUGUCGGAUUAGCUAGUUGGUGGGGUAAAGGCCUACCAAGGCGACGAUCCGUAGCUGGUCUGAGAGGACGACCAGCCACACUGGGACUGAGACACGGCCCAGACUCCUACGGGAGGCAGCAGUGGGGAAUUUUGGACAAUGGGCGAAAGCCUGAUCCAGCAAUGCCGCGUGAGGGAAGAAGGCGUUAGGGUUGUAAACCGCUUUUGGCAGGAACGAAACGGUGUCCGCUAAUACCGGGCGAUAAUGACGGUACCUGCAGAAUAAGCACCGGCUAACUACGUG